rnacentral:misc_RNA from 1 species
AAGUCGUAACAAGGUUUCCGUAGGUGAACACUUCCCCUUGCAGGUUCGCCAGAACAGAAAGUCUGCCUGGCAGGCAACAUCUCUACUGUGCUGGGAUUCACAUUCUGUGUGAUACCAGCAGCCUAGAAGAUAGGCUCACAGGUCAAAUAGAGGUGGCCCAACAGGGUUAAGAUAUGAUCGAGAGGCUGCUUGAGAUGGCAGCUAGAUUGGUGGUUAGGCCACUAGUCUUUUUAUGCUGCGGAAGGAUCAUUACAGAGAACUGCCCUCUAGGGUAUAUCUCCCACCCUUUGUUUACAUCCU